rnacentral:rRNA from 1 species
CAUAUCACCCUGAAUGCACCCGAUCUCGUCUGAUCUUGGAAGCUAAGCAGGGUCUGGCCUAGUUAGUACUUGGAUAGAAGAAGUGUGUCUUCUCCUUUCUCUUCUCUUAUUGCAAGAGGGCUUGGUC